rnacentral:rRNA from 1 species
UGCGGAAUUUUAGAUAAUGGCGGGAACUCUGAUCUAGCGACGCCGCGUUCAGGAAGAAGGUCUUCGGAUUGUAAACUGCUGUGGUAAGGGAAAAAUGCUAUGUAGAGUGGAAAGCUACAUAGAGGGAUGUUACCUUACUAGAAAGCCCCGGCUAACUACGUGCCAGCAGCCGCGGUAAUACGUAUGGGGCGAGCGUUACCCUGAAUCACUGUGCGUAAAGGGAGAGUAGGUGGACUAACAUGUCAACUGUUAAAACCCGGAGCUAAAAACAGGAAUUGAAGUUGAAACUGGUAGGAUGGAGGACGGUAGAGGAAGA